rnacentral:misc_RNA from 1 species
GCUACUACCGAUUGAAUGGUUUAGUGAGGCCUCCUGAUUGGCGCCGCCGCCCCGGCAACGGAGCAGCGGACUGCCGAAAAGUUGUUCAAACUUGAUCAUUUAGAGGAAGUAAAAGUCGUAACAAGGUUUCCGUAGGUGAACCUGCAGAAGGAUCAAAAUUGGAAGAGCCGCGUGUAAGGAGAGAGUGUAGAACUCGGUGUGCGCCGGUUCGCCGAAAAAAAAAACACAGCCGCACCUUAACUCACCUGCUAACUCAUAGCACUAUACCCAUGCCAUU